rnacentral:tRNA from 1 species
GGGCUGGUAGCUCAGAUGGAUAGAGCGUUAGCCUCCGGAGCUAAAGGUCGUGGGUUCGAAUCCCGCUCAGCUCACCA